AGAGCGAACGCUGGCGGCGUGCUUAACACAUGCAAGUCGAACGCGCAGCAUUCUGUAGCAAUACAGGGUGUGGGCGCGUGGCGAACGGGUGCGUAACACGUGGAUAACCUUCCUUCAGGUGGGGAAUAACCCAGUGAAAAUUGGGCUAAUACCGCAUAACAAAACGAUGAGACAUCUUGUUGUUUUCAAAGGCGCAAGUCGCCAGAAGAGGGAUCCGCGGCCGAUUAGCUUGUUGGCGAGGUAAUGGCUCACCAAGGCAAUGAUCGGUAGCCGGACUGAGAGGUUGGCCGGCCACACUGGAACUGAGACACGGUCCAGACUCCUACGGGAGGCAGCAGUGGGGAAUCUUGCACAAUGGGCGAAAGCCUGAUGCAGCAACGCCGCGUGGGGGAUGAAGCUUCUCGGAGUGUAAACCCUUUCGACCCGGAAGAAAGCCCGCAAGGGUUGACGGUACGGGUAUAAGAAGCCCGGCUAACUACGUGCCAGCAGCCGCGGUAAU
rnacentral:rRNA from 1 species